rnacentral:rRNA from 1 species
CCUACGGGGGGCAGCAGUGGGGAAUUUUGGACAAUGGGCGCAAGCCUGAUCCAGCCAUGCCGCGUGAGUGAAGAAGGCCUUCGGGUUGUAAAGCUCUUUCGGCGGGGAAGAAAUUGCACUCGUUAAUACCGGGUGUAGAUGACGGUACCCGCAUAAGAAGCACCGGCUAACUACGUGCCAGCAGCCGCGGUAAUACGUAGGGUGCGAGCGUUAAUCGGAAUUACUGGGCGUAAAGCGUGCGCAGGUGGUUGUGUAAGUCAGAUGUGAAAUCCCCG